rfam:Schistosoma haematobium scaffold51_4, whole genome shotgun sequence.
GCACUGAUGAUGAGUCCCACAAUAGGACGAGACGGCCGUCCUAGUAC